rnacentral:rRNA from 1 species
UACGUAGGGUGCGAGCGUUAUCCGGAAUUAUUGGGCGUAAAGAGCUCGUAGGCGGUUUGUCGCGUCUGCCGUGAAAGUCCGGGGCUCAACUCCGGAUCUGCGGUGGGUACGGGCAGACUAGAGUGAUGUAGGGGGAGACUGGAAUUCCUGGUGUAGCGGUGAAAUGCGUAGAUAUCUGGAGGAACACCGGUGGCGAAGGCGGCAUCCUGGACCAACACUGACACUGAGGAGCGAAAGCCAGGGAGCAAACGGG